GUCCUCGUAGCUCAGCUAGUAGAGCAUGCGCUUUUCAAAAGCGAAGGUGGCGUCCAUGCGUGGGUUCAAAUCCCACUGAGGGUA
rnacentral:tRNA from 1 species